rnacentral:rRNA from 1 species
AGUGAACGCUGGCGGUAUGCCUAACACAUGCAAGUCGAACGGCAGCACAGUAAGAUCUUGCUCUUACGGGUGGCGAGUGGCGGACGGGUGAGGAAUACAUCGGAAUCUACUUUUUCGGGGGGGAUAACGUAGGGAAACUUACACUAAUACCGCAUACGACCUACGGGUGAAAGCAGGGGAGCUUCAGACCUUGCGCGAUUGAAUGAGACGAUGCCGGAUUAGCUAGUUGGCGGGGUAAAGGCCCACCAAGGCGACGAUCCGUAGCUGGUCUGAGAGGAUGAUCAGCCACACUGGAACUGAGACACGGUCCAGACUCCUACGGGAGGCAGCAGUGGGGAAUAUUGGACAAUGGGCGCAAGCCUGAUCCAGCCAUACCGCGUGAGUGAAGAAGGUCUUCGGGUUGUAAAGCCCUUUUGUUGGGAAAGAACAGCAGUAGGUGAAUACCCCGCUGUUCUGACGGUACCUAAAGAAUAAGCAACGGCUAACUUCGUG